rnacentral:rRNA from 1 species
UACGUAGGGUGCGAGCGUUGUCCGGAAUUAUUGGGCGUAAAGGGCUCGUAGGCGGUUUUGUCGCGUCGGGAGUGAAAUCCACUGGCUUAACUGGUGGCUUGCUUUCGAUACGGGCAGACUGGAGGUAUGCAGGGGGAGAACGGAAUUCCUGGUGUAGCGGUGAAAUGCGCAGAUAUCAGGAAGAACACCCGUGGCUAAGGCGGCUC